UAGAGUUUGAUCAUGGCUCAGAUUGAACGCUGGCGGCAGGCCUAACACAUGCAAGUCGAGCGGUAACAGAUUGAUAGCUUGCUAUCAAUGCUGACGAGCGGCGGACGGGUGAGUAAUGCCUGGGAAUAUACCCUGAUGUGGGGGAUAACUAUUGGAAACGAUAGCUAAUACCGCAUAAUCUCUUCGGAGCAAAGAGGGGGACCUUCGGGCCUCUCGCGUCAGGAUUAGCCCAGGUGGGAUUAGCUAGUUGGUGAGGUAAUGGCUCACCAAGGCGACGAUCCCUAGCUGGUCUGAGAGGAUGAUCAGCCACACUGGAACUGAGACACGGUCCAGACUCCUACGGGAGGCAGCAGUGAGGAAUAUUGCACAAUGGGGGAAACCCUGAUGCAGCCAUGCCGCGUGUAUGAAGAAGGCCUUCGGGUUGUAAAGUACUUUCAGUUGUGAGGAAGGCGUUAAAGUUAAUAGCUUUAGCGUUUGACGUUAGCAACAGAAGAAGCACCGGCUAACUCCGUGCCAGCAGCCGCGGUAAUACGGAGGGUGCGAGCGUUAAUCGGAAUUACUGGGCGUAAAGCGCAUGCAGGCGGUCUGUUAAGCAAGAUGUGAAAGCCCGGGGCUCAACCUCGGAACAGCAUUUUGAACUGGCAGACUAGAGUCCUGUAGAGGGGA
rnacentral:rRNA from 1 species